rnacentral:rRNA from 1 species
GAUGAACGCUAGCGGCAGGCCUAAUACAUGCAAGUCGAGGGGCAGCGGGAGUAGCAAUACUUGCCGGCGACCGGCGCACGGGUGCGUAACGCGUAUGUAAUCUACCCUUUACUGGAGAAUAGCCCGAAGAAAUUCGGAUUAAUGCUCCAUAAUAUCACUGGAAGGCAUCUUUUGGUGAUUAAAGUUCCGACGGUAAAGGAUGAGCAUGCGCGAUAUUAGCUAGUUGGUGAGGUAACGGCUCACCAAGGCGACGAUAUCUAGGGGUACUGAGAGGUUACACCCCCACACUGGUACUGAGACACGGACCAGACUCCUACGGGAGGCAGCAGUAAGGAAUUUUGGACAAUGGGGGCAACCCUGAUCCAGCAAUGCCGCGUGAGUGAAGAAGGCCUUCGGGUUGUAAAGCUCUUUUGUCAGGGAAGAAACACCGGCUCUAACACAGUCCGGGAAUGACGGUACCUGAAGAAUAAGCACCGGCUAACUACGUGCCAGCCGCCGCGGUAA